rnacentral:rRNA from 1 species
CCGASUAGAUUUUUUCUGCUCAGGACGAACGCUGGCGGCGUGCCUAAUACAUGCAAGUCGAGCGGACAGAUGGGAGCUUGCUCCCUGAUGUUAGCGGCGGACGGGUGAGUAACACGUGGGUAACCUGCCUGUAAGACUGGGAUAACUCCGGGAAACCGGGGCUAAUACCGGAUGGUUGUUUGAACCGCAUGGUUCAGACAUAAAAGGUGGCUUCGGCUACCACUUACAGAUGGACCCGCGGCGCAUUAGCUAGUUGGUGAGGUAACGGCUCACCAAGGCACGAUGCGUAGCCGACCUGAGAGGGUGAUCGGCCACACUGGGACUGAGACACGGCCCAGACUCCUACGGGAGGCAGCAGUAGGGAAUCUUCCGCAAUGGACGAAAGUCUGACGGAGCAACGCCGCGUGAGUGAUGAAGGUUUUCGGAUCGUAAAGCUCUGUUGUUAGGGAAGAACAAGUGCCGUUCAAAUAGGGCGGCACCUUGACGGUACCUAACCAGAAAGCCACGGCUAACUACGUGCCAGCAGCCGCGGUAAUACGUAGGUGGCAAGCGUUGUCCGGAAUUAUUGGGCGUAAAGGGCUCGCAGGCGGUUUCUUAAGUCUGAUGUGAAAGCCCCCGGCUCAACCGGGGAGGGUCAUUGGAAACUGGGGAACUUGAGUGCAGAAGAGGAGAGUGGAAUUCCACGUGUAGCGGUGAAAUGCGUAGAGAUGUGGAGGAACACCAGUGGCGAAGGCGACUCUCUGGUCUGUAACUGCCUGAGGAGCGAAAGCGUGGGGAGCGAACAGGAUUAGAUACCCUGGUAGUCCACGCCGUAAACGAUGAGUGUAAGUGUUAGGGGGUUUCCGCCCCUUAGUGCUGCAGCUAACGCAUUAAGCACCCCCG